UCGGUUAGGUGUUCUUGAUUAAAUCUGAUCAAUAGCCUUAAGCUGAGUUUAGAUUCAUUGUGUUUCAUAUAGAGUAUUAUCAUAGUGAGAGUUUGACAUACCACCUUCCUCGGAGGAAUCUAAACUAACUAUAUCACAAAAAUGCUCGCAGAAUGAAGUGAGAUAAUCACAAUUGAAAAAUACCACAAGAAUUAGUUUGUACUAAGUGCUUAUGUAGCCAUCGAGGAAUAUAUCGCCAUCGAUUCACCAUAUAGAAUUAGUCAUUGUCUCCAUCACCAAAAUAGUAGUUGCAGAAGUCGGUCGAAACUCAUGUGAUGAAGCCAUACUAAUCUGAAUGUACAUGUCGAUUGCAUGAAAGUAAAUUCAUUAGCUUGUAAUAUGAAAAAUAAUAAAAUAUACAAUGAAAUGAAAUUGUGCCCCUAGCUGCUCAUAUUAUAUGGACUGCAUCAAUGUACAGUAUAAUGCUUGAACAGACAAGUGAUAAUUCUCUAGAAAAGGACAGCUGAAAUAGUACUAAUAAUCAGUUUAAGAUAGACAUGCAUAAAGAUAGAAGAAUCAACCUAUUAAACAUGGUCCAGAGUAAAAAGAAGAGGGGAAGAAACAUGGUCCAAGUAACCUUUAUGUACAGAAUAUCCACGUACGAAGCACAUCCAAAUCGACAGUUCAGGAAGCUGCAGU
rnacentral:lncRNA from 1 species